rnacentral:lncRNA from 7 species
ACCCUAGAAUGGACAUAAUUUAGUAUACCCUCUGGCUACAUAUAGCGUGCCACACUGCCACUGAAAAUAAACCUAUAGCCACUAAAGAUAAGUUAUUUUUGGUAGGAAACACUUAUUUUCGAUGGUUUUAGCCACUAAAAGUUUACGAAUUUCCUAUCAUGGUAUUUUGAUGUAGCCGCCUCAAUCCAAAAAAGUGAGGCACUUCUAAAAAUAUUUUGUGCAGUCUUGUUACCAUGGCUGUUGUACCAAUGUAUAUGACAUCUUGGGGCCUCAACGCAAGUUUCUCCAGCUUAAUCAUUGUUGCUUCCGAUCGACUCAGAGCUAGCUAGCUCUCCAAUGGCUUAGUUUAGCCACAAUCUACAUCCCCAUGGACACCCGCUUCUAGUUUCUCUAUGUGUUUGUCAACCUGCAUAUCCGACGUACUAAGCUAUGAACUAAAAUACAAUUUGGCUAGCAGGAUGGGUAAUAAGGUACCGCCUAGCUGCAAACAUUAAUGGUCAACUGAAGCUUUUGGAUGGGCAUUAGCUGUAAGCACAUGACUGGUUUUAUGUUGUUUUUAUUUUGCUUCAUGGCUGAAUAAUUGUU